UAAAAUUCAUAUGUAAUGAUGCCUAUCUAAAAUUUUUUUUUUUCCUUCUUUGGAGCAAUACAGUGUUUGAAGAGCUACAGUAGAGGGCGUGGACACUGU